rnacentral:rRNA from 1 species
CUACGGGAGGCUGCAGUGGGGAAUAUUGGACAAUGGGGGAAACCCUGAUCCAGCAAUGCCGCGUGUGUGAAGAAGGCCUUAGGGUUGUAAAGCACUUUCAGUAGUGAGGAAAAGUUUAAGGCUAAUACCCUUGAACCCUGACGUUAACUACAGAGGAAGCACCGGCUAAGUUCGUGCCAGCAGCCGCGGUAAUACGAAGGGUGCAAGCGUUAAUCGGAUUUACUGGGCGUAAAGCGCGCGUAGGCGGUUUGAUAAGUCGGAUGUGAAAGCCCCGGGCUCAACCUGGGAAUUGCAUUCGAUACUGUCAGGCUAGAGUAUGGUAGAGGGAAGUGGAAUUCCACAUGUAGCGGUGAAAUGCGUAGAUAUGUGGAGGAACACCAGUGGCGAAGGCGACUUCCUGGCCCAAUACUGACGCUGAGGUGCGAAAGCGUGGGGAGCAAACAGGAUUAGAUACCCCUGUAGUC